ensembl:lncRNA
GGACUGAGCCAGCCUCCUUCCCGAGGCCCCCAGCUAGCGCUGCAGCUCCUCUGAGGCACAGAGCUGGCUUGCACCCUUUCUCCAGCUGCUGCAGCUGUGGAGGAGGAAGAGAACGGAGCAGAGACCCCCCUGGCUGCACGGAGUGACGCUCAAAGUCACCAAGGACAUUGAUGGCCAAAUCAAGAUUGAUGUCAGAAUUGCUGAUUAGAGUCUGUCCAACCACAGGCCUGGAUUGAUGAGAAUAUUUUUAGAACAUACUUCACUCUUUGGCUCCUUUGACAACUCCUCACCAAUGUUUUCUUAUUUAAUUACUUUCCAUGUAAUCUGCUCCUGCAGACUUGCCCUCAGUAUUGCCUGCAUGAACAGCUUCCGUCUUGCAUUUCCUAGAAAAUACGCAUGCUCUGUCAUUUGGCAAGCACCUCCAGACUUAGGAGAGAGAUCUCUGUUGUGUCAGUCUCCACUCCUAUAU